AUAAGAAUUUAUAUCAGAUCAAGGUGUAGCUUAUGUUUAAGUAGAGAUGGGUUACAAUAAAUUUAUUUAAACGGAUCUAAUUUUGAAAUGUUUAGUGAAGGUGGAUUUGAUAGUAAAAUUUUAAAGAUUGUUAAUUUGAUUUUAGCUCUAGAAUAUGCACACAUCGCCCGUCGCUCUUGCUAUUAAGGUAAGAUAAGUCGUAACAUAGUAGAUGUACCGGAAGGUGUAUCCUAGAAUGA
rnacentral:rRNA from 1 species